CAGCCGCCGCGGGAAUACGGAGGGGGCUAGCGUUGUUCGGAAUUACUGGGCGUAAAGCGUACGUAGGCGGCUUUGCAAGUCAGAGGUGAAAGCCCGGGGCUCAACCCCGGAAUUGCCUUUGAGACUGCAUCGCUUGAACGUCGGAGAGGUGAGUGGAAUUCCGAGUGUAGAGGUGAAAUUCGUAGAUAUUCGGAAGAACACCAGUGGCGAAGGCGGCUCACUGGACGACUGUUGACGCUGAGGUACGAAAGCGUGGGGAGCAAACAGGAUUAGAUACCCGUGUAGUCCCUGUCUCUUAUAA
rnacentral:rRNA from 1 species